rnacentral:misc_RNA from 1 species
GCUUCCCGGUAACACGGUCAUCGAACCUCACCCCAAAAGCAAGUAGAAGAUCGCCAUUAUUGACGGCGUAGUUAGCGUAUACAGUCCCGUGCAUCCCGAGCAUUUUCAAUGAGAGUGGGCCGGCGGUAGGGUAGACCCCGAGCCCCAUGAGCGUGCUAGCAACCGGGAUUCCGGUCAGCUCGACAAAUUUACGGAGCUCAUCGGAGGAGUCCAUGCAACCU